AUCAUUGUAACGAGGGGGUGGAUUAUUCACGCUCGACAGUUUGUCACCAUAGUAAGUUGUUGUGAAGUUUGACACCUCCUAUAGAAUGUAUGCCUCUAUAAUGGAAGCCUCAAUUUUGCAUUUAUUUCUACAUUUCUUUCAAAUAGUCUUUAUACAUCUCUUGAUUUGAUAGCACCAACGUCCCUGCAUGGCCCCCCCAUUCGUGCCUCAUACGGGAGAUGAAGAAUCAAAUGCUGCAUUAGAUUGAAGAAGCCGGGUGUAAAUAUCUUCUCAAGCUUACACAAUAACACGAGUGUCAAUCUUACCAUGUCUGCAAUCAUGGUUCGAGAUAACUCUUUUGCACAAAGCUAGCGGAAGAAAUAGCUCAACUCUGUAAGCGCUAGCCAGACAUGCUCAGGGACAUAGCCUCGAACAAUCGCAGGAAGAAUCCAUUUAAUCCAUAUGUGGAAGUCAUGACUCUUCAUCCCUAAGACUCUCAGAUUAGAUAAGUUCACCCCCCUACUUAGGUUAGCUGCAUACCCAUCAGGAACCAUCAACAUCUUGAUCCACUGAAGUAUUUCCUUCCUCUAGGCCUUGCUUAGGACGAAAUUGGCCUUAGGCCUUCUCCAUGCCUUUCCACCACUAGGCAGCUUCAUUGCCGAGUGUUAGCCUGGAGACACUCGGCAAAGAAGCUUCUUUGCUGAGUGCCAAAGGUCGACGCUCGACAAAGUUAAGAGUCGUCAGCUAUAGACGGCUGCUAACGACCAUUUGUCGAGCGUCUUCGUUCGCCGAGCGUUUGGCACUCAGCAAACUGGUCUUUGCCGAGUGUUUCCUUGGGUCAAGAGUCCUACUCUCGGUAAACGUGGUCAUUACCGAGAGUAGGACUUUGUCGAGUGUAGCUCUCGACAAAGACUUCUUUGUCGAGUGUCCGAUAAAAAGUACUCGGCAAAGCGCCGAGCACUUGGCAAAGAGCCGGAUUUCGGUAGUGAAUGUGCAUGAGCUCACUUACGGUGGGGGGCUCAUGAAUAGUGUCAGGCUGAUCAACAAAUAAUGGUUAUAUCUGAGCAUUGCUUUUACUAAGUAGGUCAAAUUUUAUUAGCAGAUACUAGGUACAAGUGAAUACCAAUCUAAAUAAAAUGAGAGAUCAUAAUUAACAAUAAAAUCCACAAUGCGCUACAUAUGACAAAUUAAGUUUAAUUCCAUAAGUUACUCAUGUGAGGGUCCGAGUCGCUCAUGAUCGUGAGCACAGAUGAUAUAUCAGUUUUACACUCUAUAGAGGUUGCACAUCUUUACCCACAAGUCGUGUUACCCAUUUGCCAAGGGAUAGCGACUUCCCAUUCAUCUCUACUGAGGAGACAAGGCAGGGUAGCACUACAAAGCCUUUACAAAGUUCCACUAGCUUCAGAAAAUGCACUACAAUGAGGAGAUCGAUGUAGGAAUCCCCCGUCUGAAAAUCCAUCACAACAUAGUCAACCCGAAAACCUCCAUAUACCGACAACUCCCCUACCACCCUUGCCCCUUUCGGGUAAGGUAGUCCUCCGCUAGCUUUCCUAAUUAGUCAGCCAAGGGCGUCCCAUACCACCCUUAUGGUGUCACUGUUUUACCGGUGAUCGCUCUAUGUUCCAAUUAACAUAAUGAUCUUAUCAUGAAUAGUAAUAACUCAUUGACAACAAACAACAUGAUCAUGAAUAAUGUGAAUCUUAACACCCAAAACCACACAGAGCAAUAACAUAUACUACCCAAAUUUUAGUGUUAAACAAGGUAUAAAGAAGACCAAACUAUGAUGACCUAUUGGGUCCCAUCAAAAUUCACCUAAGAAGACCAUACUGAUUAACAGGAACAUUAUUAGGUAAAGAAGAGUUAUCAAGGACACAACUUGCCUUCAGCGAGCUCCUGCUUAGAGGUUUCCACCUGUUGACUUCUGGGUUCCUCGAUCACUACUCAUCUACUCGCCACAAUCCAAACAAGCAUGUGCAUAGGAGAAAUUAACAUCAUACCAAUCAUGAGAACAAACAUCAUAAUAAUGAUUUAUGCGCUGCUACAAGAUUGUAGGUUCGAGAAUGGCAAAAAUUAGAGUUAUAGUUAAGGGGACAUGAUUUUUCGAAGCUUUAGGUGAUUAAAUCGUAAAUUAUAUUCUAUGAUGAUUAAUUUAACUCAUGCGAUAAAAUAUCACAUUUAGGUAAUUAAUCCAACUUUUAAUCUAUGUUAUAUCUAUGUUAGAAUCAUAUCUAUAGUCAUGGCUAGAUUCAUAAUGUCACAUUAACCUUGAUUAGCAAAGUCAUUCUAAUAUAAAGGUAUCUAAUUAUUUCUGAGAACAAUAAAACAAUUGUUCUUAUAAUGUAGACAAUACUAAUAUGAAGCCAACACAAUUUGAACGGGUCAAAUCGGAGCUACAAUGAAUUAAUUUUGAAUUUUUGAAAUUUAUUUCUCUUUUAGGGCCCUAUCUAUAAUUUUAAAAUCAAUUUGAGGGCUUAUGUAUGUAACAUAGUACGACGGGUUCUAAUAUAAAAACUUUCAAGGUUCUUUUAGCAAAGGCGCUUGGUGAAUGGGUACGGAGAGUUUUGGGUCGUUGGAUUUAAAUUCGGGGGUUCGGAUUAGGUCCCACCCCCGCGACCUAGUGCAGAACCGAGAGCCCUCCAAUGGAAAACUAACGCCCUAGAUUUAAAAUCCUUAGAUUGAUUCCCACAUGCACGAUCUGUAUCGGACGACCGAGAUCCCCAAUCGAAUCGGUACGAGACAACUACCACUGGAUCGAGAUCCGAUGGCUCAGAUCUUAAGCUGCGAAGGGGUACGUGGCUUCUAAUCUCAUCCACUCGAGCCGCAUCGGACAACGAUGGGUUCGUCUUCACGCGCCGAACUAGAGUGCGGUGGCACUGCCAGUCCCCACAACGGAGAGAUGGCCGGAGUUCAGCUACACCAUGCAAAAGGGCCCUAGAUUUUAAUCUAAAUUGUGCAAUAUGUAGUGAAGGACAUGGCGAACGCAGGGUAACGGUUCCUCACCGGCAGGGACGAUGUACAGAGGCCUGACCAUGGAGAAUCGUGGUCUACGGUAGAUUCAAUCUCCAACGAGAAAUAUACCGAGCUCUGACCGUCCACGGCCCCUGAACUCCACAUGGAGGUGCCCGCAGACCCUUGACGAAAUGACGAGACACCUCGAGCACAGAUUCGCCCUGACGACAGCGGCUUUAUCUCUCCUUCUCGGCAGUGCUCUCUCUCACGACAAAAUUGGGAUUUUCUGGGUCUGGCG
rnacentral:lncRNA from 1 species